ACGACCUUACUUGAACUGGAUCUGUUCUAUAGGCUCGUUCCGCUAGAUUCUUGAUUUCUAAGGAGACCAGAAUCCAAGUCUCGUGGAUGAACCCGUGGCUAUGAGACUAGAGCGUGAUUAACAGUUUCCAUGGCCUUUGGGUCAUGGUGCCGUAGAUGAUCGUUCUAGGCCCGCUGGGCUUGAGAUGAUCUCGUGGCUAUCUGACAGACU